rnacentral:rRNA from 1 species
UACGGAGGGUGCAAGCGUUAUCCGGAUUCACUGGGUUUAAAGGGUGCGUAGGCGGACAAGUAAGUCAGUGGUGAAAUCUCUGGGCUUAACUCAGAAACUGCCGUUGAUACUAUUUGUCUUGAAUAUCCUGGAGGUAAGCGGAAUAUGUCAUGUAGCGGUGAAAUGCUUAGAUAUGACAUAGAACACCGAUAGCGAAGGCAGCUUGCUACAGGAUGAUUGACGCUGAGGCACGAAAGCGUGGGGAGCAAACAGG